UACGUAGGGUGCAAGCGUUGUCCGGAAUUAUUGGGCGUAAAGAGCUCGUAGGCGGUCUGUCGCGUUGGCUGUGAAAUCCCGAGGCUCAACCUCGGGUCUGCAGUCGAUACGGGCAAACUAGAGUAUUGCAGGGGAGACUGGAAUUCCUGGUGUAGCGGUGAAAUGCGCAGAUAUCAGGAGGAACACCGGUGGCGAAGGCGGGUCUCUGGGCAAUAACUGACGCUGAGGAGCGAAAGCGUGGGGAGCGAACAGG
rnacentral:rRNA from 1 species